ensembl:snRNA U6 U6 spliceosomal RNA
GUUCUCACUGCAGCAGCACAGGGACUAGCGUUGGAACGAUACAGAGAAGGUUAGCACGGCCCUUGCGCAAGGAUGACAGGCAAAUCCGUGAAGCUUCCAUAUUUAAA